rnacentral:hammerhead_ribozyme from 1 species
GUACUGAUGAAGAGUUCCAAACUAGGACGAAACAGCUGUUCAGUAC